ensembl:lncRNA
GGCAGGAUGUGAGGAGCCUGUGUCUUCCCGGCUGACCUCAGCGUCGCUCACUCGCAAGGGGACUCGGGGAGCUCUGUUCGUGGUCUUCACGUGUGAGUGGGAGUCAUGCCCGCGGCCCCCCAGCUGACCCCCUCCUGCAGGAGCCCCAGCCGCGAAAGGCCAGACCGUGUCCCACAGCCUGGGCUAAGCUGGCAACGGCCAAGGCUACCCCCACGGACGGAGCCCCUGACCCAGGAGGAGAACAAUGGUCUCUGAUGGGCUGGUGUGGAACAUAACUCCUACAAAAGCCCACAUUGGUCCUGAGAUGCCACGGCCCCUUUCUACCCUCUGCUUUCCUAGAGUGUGGAGCUCUCACAACCUUUCCGAUCCAUCAAAUGGGGCUUGAGAUGCAAUGACUUAUUUAUGAAUGAAAUUGGAGGUGGCGCAUUAAUAAAUUAUGUGAAUCCAUUUUUCUAAGAAUAUGAUGGAAGAAUUAGUUGAUGUAUUAGAAACGCUGUGAUUUUUAUAUUGUGAUUAUUUGUUCUUUUAAAGCAGAAUUCAUUUUUAAUAGCUCAAAAAUGGUCUAAUUAACCACUUUGUUUACAUUAAGAGGUUGCCUUAAAAGUGGGGGAGGGUUUUCUCCUCCAGAAUUAGUGGAAACAGUGGAAAGUUCUUUAGGAGUCCUCGUUCAUCAAGGAGGCAGUUUCUGCUUAUUGAUAAAUGGGCGUUGGAGGCUGUGAGUCAGAAGCAGGUGAAGUGUGCGUGUCUACACUGGAUGCCCGAGGCCAGGACUCAGAUCUGCUCCCAGGACGAGGUUAGUCUUUGGGGAAAAUUCCAGACAACCCAUCGCAAACAGCUCCGAGGGGCCUCUGCUGGCUUGCUGGGGUUUCCUGGGCACAGCUGGGCAUGUGGCUGGGAGACCUGGGGUCAGGGCUUGCUCACCGCCUGCCGAUGGCCUGGGGCGUCUGCUAGCCAAGGGGCAGGGGGCACUGUCCAUGGGGCAGGGGGCACUGUCCACCCUGCCUGCCGGCGGACCCGGACCCUGAGUGGUGGGGCAGGGCAGCCCCUCCCUCAGAGCCUGAGGGCGGUCUUCUGUGGGCACCCCACAUAUGACUGCUCCUGGGGCAUCUGCUCUGUGUGCCUGGGACACGCUGGGCUGCUCCUCCGGGUCAUGUGAGGUGUGGAGGGGACGCACUUGCCUGCCCGCCUUCGGCCUCUCGUGGGAGACGAGCCCUGCGGAGCAGCCAGGCCCCCGCGACUCGGGCUGGGGGACAGGGUCUUCUCUGACUUGUCUCCAGACAGCCGGCCACACUCAGCCCAUCCGGGGCUCAGGCCUCAGAGGCGCUCAGGUGUCACUCACGGUGA